ACUCCUACGGGAGGCAGCAGUGGGGAAUAUUGGACAAUGGGCGCAAGCCUGAUCCAGCCAUGCCGCGUGAGUGAUGAAGGCCCUAGGGUUGUAAAGCUCUUUCACCGGAGAAGAUAAUGACGGUAUCCGGAGAAGAAGCCCCGGCUAACUUCGUGCCAGCAGCCGCGGUAAUACGAAGGGGGCUAGCGUUGUUCGGAAUUACUGGGCGUAAAGCGCACGUAGGCGGAUCGAUCAGUCAGGGGUGAAAUCCCAGGGCUCAACCCUGGAACUGCCUUUGAUACUGUCGAUCUGGAGUAUGGAAGAGGUGAGUGGAAUUCCGAGUGUAGAGGUGAAAUUCGUAGAUAUUCGGAGGAACACCAGUGGCGAAGGCGGCUCACUGGUCCAUUACUGACGCUGAGGUGCGAAAGCGUGGGGAGCAAACAGGAUUAGAAACCCGUGUAGUCCCAUGA
rnacentral:rRNA from 1 species